GGCAUCUGAAAUCUUCCCACCACUCCCCCAAGAGGAACUUUACAUAUAUAAAAAAGGCAUGUCUACCAUUGUCAGCUCUUUAUAUCAUUUGUUCUCAUAUAUUUUCUGGCCCUUUCAGUAUCCAGAACCAGUACCAAGAACCAGCCAACAGCUAAGGCAGAGAACCGUCAACAGCACAUUGAAGAAGGGCAAUGUAGCAUCCGAGUUGGCAUGAAGGAAGAAGGAAUGAUGCUGGGGAGGCAAUAUCCACCAAAUUAUGAUACUUGCUUCAAUUUCAUUAAGCUUCUAAUCAAAGCAAUGCUGAGUAUCCUAGUUUUGGGGCUGGGGCCAAAUUAUAGAGACAAGAUACGCAAGAAGAAAGAGAGUAACAUUUGGGCUGCUAAGGUG